GAGACAUAUGACCUGGUUUUGGAAAGAGUGAUGAGAUGGCCUCAGGCUGCUGCUCUCAACGCACCGGCCCGAGCGCUCUGGGGCCCGAGGGGAGGGAGGGGCGCUACUGGGGGGUGGAGCCACCUUCCCAAGGCGCUUGGCAGCCAGAGCCCUUGAUGUCGUUAGACUCUUACAGCUCCUCUAAUUUUUUUAAACUUCACCUUCUCCGUUUUUCAUUUCUGGUCCUUUCCCUCCUUAUCUCUUGUACCCCUGGAGGGAAUGUUAAAUAACGAUUGAAUAAGAGGUGAGGGGGAUGGAUUAUGUUUUAACAUCCACAGGGAAAGUGAGAUUGGGAGGCAUGGUUAAGAGACCGAGAUGAGGGCAGGGAAACUACCAGCAUCCCUUGCGCCAAGGGUGGACAGUCUCUCACAGGCUUGUGUGGCCACAAGGACCCUAAAGGGAGUCAUCUGUCACUUGCUGCCCUCCCAGCGGAUGCUGAGCCUGUCUAGAGGCUGAGCCUGAUCUGCCCUCCUCCCAGGAUGGACCCCUCCCAUCACGAUAAGGGAUGCGGGGAGGCAGCAACAAGCUUUACCAAAGAUGACAGAGAAGUUGGGGGUCUGCUCGGUCGGGGUGCCCUGGCACUGGGCAUGACUCCACCUGGGAGUUAGGGGCUCCAGGGCUGGAGCAUCUUGGCAGUCUCUGGUUAGACAUCCAGCAAUUUUCAGAAGCACCUCAGGGCAACUUUACUUCACUCUUUUCUCCCCAUACCCUUGCCCUUAUAAAUGGUGCAACCGUGACAUCUCAGAUUCGGAAAGCACCUUAAAUGACAAAAGGCUCUCCAUUUUGCCUUUCGAAUCUGUGAUUGUUUGUCUUCUGCUUGAACGGUCAUGGCAGGGAGCUUUCUAGAGACAGCUCAUUCCAUUGAAGUAAAGUCAUGUGAUAAGAAUGUUCUCUCUUGCUGUGGUUUUUAAAUCUUACGCCCUAUGUCUUCCACCCAUUAGUCCUAGCUCUGCCCUGUGAAGACUUACAAGAUAAACUCAAACAUUUUUUUUUUUCCUGCGUGCAGCUAUCAGAUCGUACUAAAUUUUCUUUCGUCAGGGCAAAUGCCUGGGAAUACUCCUGCCAUUUCUCCAAGCUGGGCCUCCAGACCCAUCACUAGCCAGGCGUAUCUCAUCUGGGUGUGUGCCAGGUCACUGAGGCCCCUUGUGCUGUGUCCCACCUGGACUGUCCAACACCCUCAGGAAAUGAAGGAUGUCUACUUCUUCAAGGGCCCUCAUCAUGGAUACAGCCUGGAGCUAGCUGGAGGAUGGGGAAACUUCAGCCCACUCGUAACGCCUGUAUCCUACUGUCAGCUCAAAACGCUGACUUUUAAAAAAAUUGUGGUAAAAUACACAUAACACAAAACCGAACAUCUUAGCCGUUUUUAGUGUACAGUUCAGUGGCAUCAAGUACAAUGGUAUUGUUAUGCCACCAUCACCACCAUCCGUCUCCAGUACUUUUGCAUCUUGCAACACUGAAACUCUGAACCCAUUAAACAAUAACUCCCCAUCCCCUCCCCCCUCUCCAGCCCUUCGCAACCACAAUUCUUUCUACCUUCUGUCUCUGUGAAUCUGACUACCCUCGGUACCCCAUGUAAGUAGAAUUAUACAGUGUUUGUCCUUGAGUGAUUGGUUUAUUUCACGUAGUAUAGCAUCUCCAAAGUUCUUUCAGAUGGUAGCAUGUGUCAGAAUUUCAUCCCUUUUUAAGGCUGAAAAAAUUCUGUUGUCAGUAUAUACUACCUUUGGUUUAUCGUUCAUCCGUUGAUGGACACUUGCGUUGCUUCCACCUCUUAGCUAUCGUGAAUAAUGCUGCUAUGAACACGGGUGUACAAAUACCUCUUUGAAUUCCUGUUUUCAGUUCUUUUGGGUAUACAUCCCCAAAUGGAAUUACAAACACUAACUUUAUUUUUGCUGCUGGUUGACCUGAUUUCACCAACCCGGUGUUUGUGAAUUUUACUUUUUGAUCCCAAGGGAAAGACUUUCCUGUGGAACUCCCAUCUCUACGAAUUGUUCCAUCAUCUCAACCUGUUGAGGUAAUUAAACCCAUUUACAUGAACUGUUUGCCAUUUAUGCCUAAUUAUCAUACAGCACAACAGCGAUGAACGCUUACAUCAUGCACUUCAUGUCAGAUUAACUUGCCAGUUCUGUGCCAAGGGCAAGGUUUGUUUCUCACAAAGCUUGGUCACCUGUUUCCAAAUUAUGUUGAUUAACAUAAUUUAAUGUUAAUGUAGGAUGUAGGAAGCAGCCCCAGCCUGGUGACAUACUGUCUCUCCCACUUAUUUCAACCCCCUCCCUUCCCACCUUUGCCUAAUUCUUGGGAAUCUCCGCACUCUUCUCUGAGCUUUCUUCCACAUUCUCAUUUUUUUUUCUUGAGAAAUGCUUGGGAUGGCCUCUGGCACACUGGCGUGGGGUAGCUCCAGCUUGUAUGGUCCCCAGGAGGAGGCCGGAACGGAAGUAGCUUCUCAACAGUGUGGUACGUAGAAACCAUGCGGGGUAAAGGUUUUAACAGAAGGAAAAAAAUCCUACCAUCGCUAAGAUUGCUAACUGUCCAGCAAAGGGGGCUGGGAAGAGGAAGGAGGCAGCCAACUUCUAUCACGGUGAUACCCAUCAACUCCAAGAGCCAGAAAUACAGGAAUUUUGCAUCCCUCAGCCCAGCCCCGCCUCCUGGCUCUACUCAACAGAUCUCACCCUGCAGGGAAGGACCUGUCAGACCACGCGUAUGAUAAUUUUGUUUCUAUCUGUAGUCUGAAGUAACAGGUGAUUUUAUUUUAUUUUGUUUGUUUUGCUUUUUAAAAUUUAAUUCUUAUUUUAUUUCAGAGUAUAGUUGAUUUACAAUGUUGUGUAAGUUUCAGGUGUACAGCAAAGUGAUUCAGUUUUACAUAUACAUAUAGCCAUUCUUUUUCAGAUUCUUUUCCCAUAUAGGUUAUUACAUAAUAUUGAGUAGAGUUUCCUGUGCUAUACAGUAAGUCCUUGUUGUUUAUCUAUUUUGUAUAUAGUAGUGUGUAUCUGUUAACCCUGAACUCUGGAGAAAACCAUAAUUCGAAAAGAUAAAUGCAUCCCAAUGUUCACUGCAGCAUUAUUUACAGUAGCCAGCACAUGGAAGCAACCUAAAUGUCCAUCGACAGAGGAAUGGAUAAAGAAGAUGUGGCACAAGUAUACAAUGGAAUAUUACUCAGCCAUAAAGCAGGUGAUUUUAAAGUAUUUGGUAUCCCUGGUCUGGCUGUUAUAUGGAACUGAGCAGGACCUUCAGCCAGAGAAGUGAAAUAUGGGAAGGAACAGCAGACACAUUGGAAGAAAACAUCUAAUGGUGAGUUUUAAAGUUAGGCAUAGUCCAGAUGCAUGCUGUCCUGGGUUCUCUAUUUUUUUUUACUUAAAAAGCUCCCCCCAAACUUCAUGGCUGAAAACGACACCUACUUUAUUAGAGCUCGUGAUUCAAGCCAAGUUCAGCCAGGAGAUUCUUCUGUUGCAGGGGACAUUGACAGAGGUCCCUGAGUGGCGUUCAGCAGGUGGAUGGCCGGAUCUGGGGGGGUUGAACCUGGCAUGUCCUGGGCCUCAGUGGGGAUGGUGUGUGUGUGGGGGGCUGGUUCCACCGGAACGGUCACCUGGAACUCCUACACGUGGCCUCUCCAGCAUGGCAGUUUACCUUGAUGAACCUCAAGGUAAUCAGAGAUCUUAAGUUAUGGCUGGGGGCUCCAAGAGAGGGGUGUUCCAGUGAGUGAUGUCUGAAGCUGCUGGCCUUCUAUGACCCAACCUUGAAAUCACCUAGUGUCACCUCUGUUGGAUGAAAGAGUCACAACCCCACAGAGUUUCGGGAGCAGGAAACACAAAACCCUACCUUUUGUUGAGAAAAGGGUCAAAGAAUUUGCAACCAUGUGUUAAAGCUGCCAUAUAUGUAUAUGUAUAUUUGAGUGCACGAUGAUAAAACCACACUGGUGUAUGCAGUUGUUAACCACAUGUACCCCACAAAAUGCAGUGUUCAAAGGGUUCAGGGGUUUGAGAAGAGGAAGGAAUCACAUCCCCCCGGGGCAUCGAGGUGCUGCGGACAAGGUACGGCAUUUAAGCAGGCCCUGAAGCACAGGUACACGCGGUACAUCACAGACAGAGAUUGGGGCAGGGACUGUCCGAAACACAUGAGCAGAGACACUGAGGCCGAACAAAAACCGAAAAAACAGUGACACUGACAGAAAAGGCACCACAAGAGGCGGAAGGACAAUGAGAGCGUGCUGCAGGCGGAGGUGACCUCGGGAGCAUGGCGGUCCCCCGACAUGUCACGCUGGCGAAGAUCAAGAAGGAUACGGGUAACAGGGAAGGAAAGAAGUAGAUUACUGAUUAACAGAUGUUGAAGUGAAGUAAAGGAGAUGGAUGACUUCAAUCCUCCGAGUAAAGCAGGAGGACACAUCACGGUGUCAGAGCACAUAAACUCUUUCAAGGCUCUUGAAACCUACCCUCAAAUCGCCUUUGCAAAAAGGGUGCACCAACUAGACUCUGGCCCACAGCAAGGUCGUCCCCUUAAAAAGAAAUGCCACUCGGGAAAGCUCAGUUGCUUCUGGUAGUUGACAUAUUGGGACCUUUCUUCACUCUUCACGUUCUAAAGAAUUAGGGUUCAGAAAUGUGGCUUUUCCGAAACUCUGCCUUCCUCUCCAGGUUCCAGGUGCCUUCCAGCCCUGAGAUUCCGGUCUUUUCACCAUCAUCACUCGCACCAGAUUGCUCAACCCGCUCCGCCCAGUAAGAGAAGAUGGAAAGUAUUCCAGCGCUCUCUUUGUUGUAAUAGUGGCUUUAAGAAGAAAUAGGUGGGAAACGGUGUAGCGGGACUGGGGUCUUGGAGCGGCAGCGAACAGCACAGAAGUGUGUAUACACACACGCACACACACACACACGCACGCACGCAAGCACACACUCCCUCCCACCCCGCCUGCCGGGCGCUCGGGCUGGCUGGGAGGGGGAAC